rnacentral:lncRNA from 1 species
CUCUGUUAGGCAGCAUUGGCAGGAUUGAGGAGCCACAUUAUUUCUCUAGGGAAAACCUUUCCAUCUGUCAAACAACGAGCUUGCUGACAAACUCACUACCACCGGAUCCACAAGACACAGAACAUCUUGUGCUCCACACGAGAGGCACGGGGGGAAAUUAUCCCAGAAGCAGUUAUGGGAAGGCAGGACCUGGGACUCUAGCAAGUAGCCGCUGAUGGAUGAAUGAAUGUAAUGUCAAUCAGCAUUGCUCAUUGCCCCAGAUCCCAGCCAGCAGGCCUGAAGUGAAACCUCACAUUUAUAGGGAAGGUCCCUUGACUUUUUCUCAUCACAGGUGCCCAGGCUGGGCUAAGUUCUUAUUACGAGUCCUCCACACCACCAUUCCCCUUCCAUGGAAGCCAUUCAUUCAUAAUUAUAUGUUGUUGUUUAUUUCCCCCAUAAGACUGUUGGUGCUGUUCCCUGACUUAAAAAUAUGUGUGCGGGCCAGAGAAUAGUUCAAUAGUUCCAGGAAAAAAAUUGAAGCAACAUAUGGGUGAACCCUACCUUUGAGAAAGUCAGUUUUUAUAAGACUGUGAGAUAAUAAUAGGCAACCUAUUUGUAGUCUUUACUUUUUAAAAUGCUUCCCUAUACA